UACGGAGGGGGCUAGCGUUGUUCGGAAUCACUGGGCGUAAAGCGCACGUAGGCGGCUUUUUAAGUCAGGGGUGAAAUCCUGGAGCUCAACUCCAGAACUGCCUUUGAUACUGGGAGCUUGAGUCCGGAAGAGGUGAGUGGAACUCCGAGUGUAGAGGUGAAAUUCGUAGAUAUUCGGAAGAACACCAGUGGCGAAGGCGGCUCACUGGUCCGGUACUGACGCUGAGGUGCGAAAGCGUGGGGAGCAAACAGG
rnacentral:rRNA from 1 species